AUAUAAGUAAGCGGAGGAAGAGAAACUAACUAGGAUUCCCCCAGUAACGGCGAGUGAACAGGGAUCAGCUCAACACCUAAUCGGGUAACCGACGUGUGGUGAAUGGAUACCUAGAAUAGUGUACUGAGUAAGUCUUCUGGAAUGGAGCACCUCAGAGGGUGAUAGUCCCUUAACUCAGCAGCAUUGUUCGUACGGGUACCUGUUAAGGAGUCGCGUACUCUGGGAUGAGUGCGCUAAAGGGUGGUAAGUUCCAUCCAAGGCUAAAUAUGACCACGAGACCGAUAGCGCACAAGUA
rnacentral:rRNA from 1 species